UAUGGCCUUGUUGUUUAUGGCCUUGUUGUUUAUGGCCUUGUCUACAUGUAGCGACAUGUUCUUUUAAUUAUAUGAGAAAAGAAGAUUCAGUUUUAUUUGAAAAGGCAAGCCACACAAAAUCAAACAGGCCUAUUCAUAUAAUGAAUAUUAAUUUGGAGUGCAGAAAUGAUUACAUAUUAAAGCAUUAGACCUUUCACUAAAGGCUUUAGUCAUACAAAAGUUAUUCUUAAAUCCAAACUGGUUCUCUAGCAGAUCAGUAAGAAUGUCUCCCAUGUUCAAGAAUAGCCUUUUGCUGUCCCCUGGGGGAGUAGAGUGUGGAGGUGUAUGCUGUAUAGUGUUUGUCUAUGUCCCUACACUAACCUCGUCCCCAUAUCAUAACAUACUGACCUAAGAUCCUUGCUCCACAGUUAGUGCCAAGGCCUGUAAUCUCUCUCACAAGAAUGGAACUCAUCACUGCUACGGGGCUUUGGGAGAAUCUUUGUCCUUACAGCUGGCUGCAGACAGCAGUAAUGAAGAAAUACAAUUGAAAAAAGGUUUUACUCGUAUUCUGCACUUCAAAACUGGAGAAGACUGGAAAUCUAAAUUGCAUCAGGAUUAUGUGAAUCGCUCUGAGUUCUUUUAUAAUGGAACAUUCAGACUGGACAGAGUUAUAGAAGAAGACAGUGGAGAUUACCAAUUGGAAAUGCAUAAUUCAGAGGGAACACUGUUGCGCAAAGUCAACAUGCUACUUGAGAUACAAGGUACAGAAUUGUUUUAUUUUUUAGUUUGGACUAAAUACUUCAUGCAUCCUUUUCUUGGUGAGGGGUAUUUCUGAAAGGUCACCAGGAUGUUAGUACCUCAAUGGGUUUGUACUGUAGGACUUGGCAGCAGUAGUACAACACAUAGAGAGUAUAUUGUUACCUCAUACAGUACUUUAGAUAUAAUGUUUUAAUGAAUCAGAGUUAGGGUAUUUGAGUGACCUUUUGUGUUUGUGUCUGUCAGCCCUGGUGUCAGAGCCAGUGUUGUCUCACCUCUGUCUGCCUCAUGGAGAAACCGUGGUCACAUGCUCCUCAGAGGGAGAUGGUCUUCAGUACAGCUGGACCCUGAAUGGCCAGAAUCUGACCAGGAGUGUAGCCUAUGACCACUACCAGAACAGUGUCAUCAUACUGAAGAGUGAUGUGACAGAAACCCUGACCUGUAUGGUUCAGAAUAAAGUUAGCAGCAGCAACUCCACUAUUGAUCUCUCCUUGGCCUGCCCAGUUGUCUCUUCCCAGUUUCCUUCAGUAGCUGUGACAGUGUCUGUGGCUCUGACGGUUGGAACUCUCACACUUCUUGCACUGUUUCUUGGUAUUAACCAUCUAUGCAAGAAACAAAGAUCCAGAUUUGAUAAUUCAGAACGCUGUGACGAGGUUGCUGUUUACGCUGAUGUGAAAAUAAAUCAAGCAAGGAAGCAGAGGCCCCCAGACACAGAGACGGUGGUGUAUGGACAGAUCAAAAUGGCUGUAAACCCAGACGAGGCAGGAAGCCCAUAGACUCAAGGGUAGACAUUUUACCACAUGUAGCUUUGUAAAGCAGUAAAAAGACAAGGGUUGAGUGAACAUUAUGUGGAAGCACUGAUUGAGCAGAUGAGACAGACCAUCAAACUUAAAGACUAGUGUCAAAUGAACACAUCAAGAUGACAUCAUGCAUCAUGUAAGGAAUGCUAGGAAGAUGCACUGCAUGUAGUUUAGAGUUUGUUAACAUGAAUUACUGUCUCAUUUUGUAUUGUAUAUUGUACAAUGGUAUAACAAUUUUAAAGUAUUUUGUAACUUUUGUUUAAAACCAUAAUAUCAAUGUUUCUCUAUUUCAAUGUUAGUGAACAAGUGAACGAAUGUGACCAUUUCCUGUAAACUGAGCUGCAAUAUCAUACUGUAAAUGUAAUGCUUUCUAUCUUUUUAGGCAUCCAUGUUGUUGUACCAAUGUCUAUUUGAGAUCAAAUACUCAUUUACAAUGGUAAUUUAAUAUAUUGUUAAUGAGGGGUUUUAAAUUCAUAAAGGCUUUGUACAUAUUUUACAUUGUUUAAAGUAUUCAUGUGUGAUUUCUUACAUAUAUUGUUGCCGUGAAAACAUGAUAUGGAUAACAGAAUAAAAGAUAAU